ensembl:lncRNA
GGCAGUCUUUCAGAAAGAGAGUGCCCAGACUUGCCAUUGUUUGUGAAAUAGUCUCCAAGCAAGAAGGGCCUGCAAUGGCCCAGCUGGGCUGGCCCUCCUUGUUCAGUCUCUGCCCUGCUGCCUGACACUACUGAUAGUGAAAGCUGGCUGAGCCCUGCUCUGCUGAUAGCGAUGUGAGGCACCAUUUAGCAGAAGUUUCCUGAUGCAGAGCUUUUAGAGAAUUCACGGACUUGCUCUGUCAUCUUCAUCAAAAGAUGUUUCCUUUUGCUGAGUCAGAAGAAGUAAAUUGGAUCUGGACCAGAAACUAAUGUUCCAGAUUUGUACAUGCCUGCGAACAGCCCAGUGGUUUCCUGCAGGUCCUGCACUGCCAAGACAGAAAAUGGAGGCAAAAAGAGGGAGAUAGACCGUGUAGCUGGUUUCCAUGGUAAUAGCUGGAGCAAAAGGUAGGGCAAGAGGAUGGGGCACAAGAGUUGGCCUAUGCAACUUUCCUCUUGGAUACUAAAAUUGUUUUGUUUUGUUUUGCUAUUGUCGUAGAUUAAUUUUUCACCAAAAAUAACCUGUAAAGAAAAAAUGUCACAGGACUAGGCAUAUAAUUAUAUGAGGAACAGUAGGCAAAGACUUGGGCUUGAAUCCUUACUCUGCCACCAGCAGAGUCAUUUAGAGCAAGUGGAUUAAUCUCUUUGACUAUCCUCAGUAGAACACAGAUGUCAAUAAUGCCUACUUUAUGUGGUCUGGGGGAGUAUUAUUAGCAUAUAAAGUCAUACUGUCACUUUAUUUAAAAUGUUAUUUUCAUUUCUACUAUUCUUAAUAACACACAAAAGGGGCUCCAUACAUUUUAAAUUGUUCGUACAAACUAAACGGGCUUUUAUAAGGGGCCCUUCUAACCACUUCUGCUUCCCUUCAGUUUAUGAGGCAAUUCAUGGUGUUUAAAACAACAUCUAAUUCACUGCAGAAUUGAACGGUGUCCCACACCAACAUAAAAGAAAAGUUACAAAAUGCCACUGAAACUGCUGCAGGAUACACCAUCAAGAUUUCCCCCCCACAGUCUAGUUUCUCGAAAAUGUGUCACCAUCAUCUUUUAAAAUCCACUUAACAAUCUACAAGGGAGAGAUUAUUAUAUGUCCAGCCAUGUGGUAAUGCAGUUUCCAGGAAUCGAGAAAAAUAUAUAUAUAAUACAUUUGUUAUCAUUGACAGCAGCCCAUAUGCCUGAGCAUUUGCUUUCCACAGUUUCUGAGAAACAUGCUGGAAAAAAAAAAAUGCUGAACCCAAACAUGAUCCCAGAUCCCUGACACGACACUGUAGCCAGGACCUCUAGCCAUGCAGUUUACCCCUCCGGCCCUAAGACAACACUGUGCCACCCCCAGACUUCCAUCUUACUCCCACAUGGUUUGGUCUCUCUGUGUUGCUCUGCAGAAGCCUUCUCUCAGGUGCUGAGCAUCACUGCAUCAGUCUCGCUACCCUCUUUCUUUGGCAGAUCCUAGCUUCUUAGGGACUAAAGGCAGGAAGUCACCUCUUCUGUCUGACUUUAACUUUCUCCUUCAACCUGGCUUUAAUACUAAAGUGAUUCAAAUAUUUUUAGCAGAAAAACCAACCCAUCCCUGGGAAAGAGUGGGCAGAGAUGGUCUAUACCACACUCCAGACUCCUGUGAGAGAAACCUUUAAGCACCCAAACUACCUCAACCUCUACCUCAGAUGACACCCUUCAAUACUGCUAAAGCCAAUUGCCCAAAAGCAAUUUGAUUACAAGUCAAUCUCUGCCGGUGUUUUGGAAAAUGUCUAUGGAAACAAUUCCCUCUUUGAGCUAUCCCCAUCCAUCCCCAAAGGGGGAAUUUCAUGGAUGUCACACAGCCUAUAUUUUAAGUCAGGCCAUCAAAAUGUACUCUUCAAAUAGGAUGAAAUCUAACCAGUUGUUCUUCCAUGAUGUACUAAAAGGUAAACAGACAAACUUCUAUGCAGGUGGGAAAGAAACCAACAGGUAAGUCAUUCCUGUAAAAAUUUCUUAGCUCAAAUUUUAAGAAGAGAGAAAUGCUGGGGAUGAUAGGAAGGAUAGGCAAAGGCAUAAUUGAGAUGACGCUAUAAGGAGCAAACUCGGAGCUGGCCAGGUGGCGCAGCGGUUUAGUUCGCACUUCUGCUUCUCAGCAGCCCAGGGUUCGCCGGUUUGGAUCCCGGGUGCAGACAUGGCACCGCUUGACAAGCCAUGCUGUGGUAGGCGUCCCACAUAUAAAGUAGAGCAAGAUGGGCACGAUGUCAGCUCAGGGCCAGUCUUCCUCAGCAAAAAGAGGAGGAUUGGCAGUAGUUAGCUCAGGGCUAAUCUUCCUCAAAACAAUAAAUAAAUAAAUAAAUAAAUAAAUAAAUAAAUAAAUAAAGGAGCAAACUCUAAUGCAUAGCGGGAGGGGAGGGUGACCCUCAGGUCACAUACAUGAGGACAGAUCGGGACUGGGGUGGACUGGAGAAGAGUAUAUGUCCUUAUAAUGAGAGAAGCAGCUACCCAGCUUCUGCCACUUAUGGCCACAGGGGUAUGCUGGCCCAAUGUUGCCAGGUUUGUCUCUAUAAUUUCAAGUAUGGUUAUUCUAAGUCUCACAGUUCAAAUUCUUGAGAGAGAAAAUAUCAUCGACCAACCCAGCCUAAGGACUGAUUCUUCUGGGAUCAGGUGCCUACACCUAGUCCAACCAAUUUUGUCUCGGGGACCCAUGGAGGGCCGGAUCGCACAAUCUAUUGUCUACCCUGGAGGAACUUGGAAAGGGCAACCUGAUUCAUGAAAAGGGGUUGUGGGAAGGACUAGUGCAGCAAAGCCUGCCUUCACAGACCUAAAGGACAAAUGAUAGACUCAUGACAGCUGUGCAAUGAUUUCUACUGGGAAACAGAAUCUUCUCCACAAUCCCUCUGUGCAUAGACAGUGCUGCAUUGCAUUCGCCACUCUGAUCCUGCCCUGCUUGUUUAAGCCAAGGUGGGCACAGAGUGUAAAUAAUGAGGCUGCAUCCUUGCUUCUCUAUACUGUUAUUAAGGAUGAACAGACUUGGAAAAGAGGAAGCUGCCUCAGAAGCAUGAAAGAUGACUCCAAAAUAUACAAUGCCACCAAAACAUUAUUGUCACAUUCAGAAUAUCAGGUUUGCAUCAGGAGAGAUGUUUUUCUUCAAACUACAGCAGCGUGUAUGUGAGAAUGUUCUGCUGCAAAGUGAACAUGAACAAUGUCCCCAAGAGAGCAAUGAAGCUCUCAGCCAUGGACAGCCGACCUACUGCAGCAUCUUUGUAGACUCUUAGCUUGGGAAGCUGAGGCCAGGGCCUGGGGCAGGUGCAUUUUGGUGAGGAAAAGGAUAGGGAAGACUUUGGAGUUGUGCCUCCCAGAAACAGUAUAAUCAGGAUCUCACUUCAUAGAUCGGGAAACUGGAGCCCAGUGAGAUUUAGAGUCUAGUGUCUUUAAAUAGAACACGGGCUUUACUUCCAGUCCAGGGCUCUUCAAAUGUUUAUAGCAGGCUCUGGUUUGAGGUGGAAGAACCAGAGAGAAUAUGGCACUUGCCUAUAAAAGCUACAUCUUUCUGUAGUCGACUUCCAAACGAAAGACAUUUUCGCUUGUCAAAAGUGGGCAGUCGGUGCUUUGAAAUACAAUGACUGAAGGGCAAUGCUCCUUGACUUGACAGAGCCUGUUUAUAAUUACAGCAUUAGCACACACACACUUUAAUUAAAAAUCUUGAAAAGGACCUUAGCUGUGUUACGAGACCUAUACCAAAAUCCUGUCUGAGGAGUCACUUUCUAGCCAAACUCUUAUUUUCAGAGGCCAGCCCUAAAAAUUUCUUAGAUUUAUUCUCUGAUCAAUAAUGACUCUUCGGCAAUAUCUGAAAGAGAAAAAGCCAAAGGUACCUCACUCAAGCCUGAUCAUAUAACACUGUUCUAUCCCUACUCCGACAAGCUGCGGUUGAGGGGCAGGGCCGUCGAGCCCGGUGACUGUCCACCUUGCAGAAACUUGGAGGGGGGGCACUAUAGUGGUCCAAAAGAUCGUCUGGCCCAGCUCUGUCAUUUUACACAUAAAAAAUGGAGACUUAGAGAGGUGAUUGUCCAGGGCCAAUCCAGUGGCAGGAGGGCUGGGACAUACUAAUAGCCACUCUAGAUAAUCACUGCUCAGGAAAAUGAGCUGCUCAGUCAAUUGAAAAAGAGAUAUAAUUUUGAAAUUACAAAUAUCAUUCUCUAUUACUUCCCUGGUUGUGCUCCUGAAAACACCAGUUUUCUAGAUACUUGAUUUAAUAAAUAGAGAAAGGAAGAAAGAAAGAGAGAGAAAAGAAAGUAAAUGAGUUCAUCCAGAGCACAUAAGCAUGAGAAAUACUACAUACCAUAUUCCCUUCUUGGAGAUUCACGUCACACGCUAGGGAAUCUGAGAAAGAAGCCCAGCAGGAAAGAAAUCUGUUUAACUCAAAGCUCUUUUUCCAAGUCACAUCUAUUAACAUCCUACAGACCCGGUGUGCUAGGAAACGUACGUUGGGACAUCCUAGCUUAGUGAGAAGGGAAAUGAACUUCAAAAUAAUUGGGCUGGAAAGUAAAGAAAUUGAAACAGUCUGGUUCAUGUCAAGCAAGAGUUCGGAAAUGGCACCAUGUCAUCUUCAGUUUCUUCCCCUGGGUCUUUUACACUUGGAACUUGGAAAGAAAUGGAAGAUAAAGGUGUCCUUCAGCAGCAAAGAUAAAGAGAAUAAAUCUUUUUCUUUAAUUUAGCAUUAAAGGUUUGUGUAAAGGAGUAAAAACACAGACCCACUCUUCUCCGUAGGUAUUUGAGUCCCUACUAGAAAUGUAAUGCUUAGAAUUGUAUUUCCGCACAUUUAUAACUUCUUUACCGUGAACUACCGUGAUGUUCUUUUCCUUCAAAGCUGGUAAAGUUACAUUCCUACCCAGAAAAUGUGAGGAAAUCGCAUUUGACCUGUAAAUAAACUAAUUUGAAAAGUUUUUUUAAAAUAUUAGAGACUUCAAAAAAAAGAUUGGGUGUGAAAACUCCAAAAGUUCCAAAAAAAUUCCAAAGUGUGAAAACGCGAAAUUUUUAUACUCAAAUGAGUCAAAAUAGAUGAACAGAAUGCUUCCAAACUUUCUAAAAAUAUGCACCUUCAGGCAAUAAAAAAAAAUCAAUCUAAAGGGUCAUUUAUUUCAAGAACCUAAAAGCCCGACUUAGCACUCCCGUGAUCCCCCACAGCUGACUGGAUCUGGGAAAGCAGGGCUGAAGAAAGGUCAUUCAUACUCCUCUCUAACCCCUUAAUGAUAUGUUUAGCCAGGCUAAUUUUAGACCUGUCGGAAGCUUUUGAUUCAGUUAACCAUACGGUGUUGGUGACAAGACUGUGGUCAAUGGCAGGUGUGGGCUGAGCUCCUUUUGAAAUCAGUUGGUGAGUUCAUUCCUGGAAGAAAGAUGUCAAUACACAGUUACAGGGAACUGCUCAUGAUCCACACACAUCUCCUAGGAGGUCUUUUCUCUCCUCCCUAAGUACCCAACAUGGGCAAGAGAUCCUGGGAACCAUCAGUGGAGGCAAUAACAUCUUGCUGAUCCUCAUCUCAUUAUAGUCUUUUCUACUGAUCCAUUCAACCUGUCUUAGCCUUUGGCUUGGCUUAUAGUUAUUUUGGUUUGAGCAGGAAGUAGCUGGCUUCAACUCAACCUGGAUAGGCUGAGGUUAUGAUCCUCAGUCCUAGGAAAUGCUUUACAGAUAUCAGAGGUGGAUCUGUAUCAUAGCUAUUCAGGGAUAGAGGCUGACUGACUGGUCUUUUAACAGGUGCUUGAGCAUGGACAAGAAAAGUCUCUUUUUUCUUGGAUCCAGAGAGGCAUGUGCCUACACCAGCUUCCCAAAAAAGGCAUCAUUACAUUUAGCCACCCCUCUGGUUCAUAUAAGUUUCACCACAGUAAUAUCUACCCUUUUCUCUACUUUGCUAGAUUUUACAGUGGAAUUUCAUUACCCUACUAUUCAUUAAAGGGAAUUUCUUUAGCCCUUUGAGUUUUCGUACCAAUCAGUUCAAAUGCUUUCCAGCCUCUCAGGCUUACCAUGAAUGGAUAUUUGAUGCAGUGUGUGUGUCUGCUCUAUAUGUGCUCCAUAAAUCUUUCUAUAGCAAAGAAAACAUCAAUGUUAUGCUCAAGAACUCAACAGCCUGAAUGAAGAGGAAAACGUCUUUAGUACUGUCUCUUACUAGAUUUCAACAAAUUCUGAUGCUGUAAGGGAACUCAGGGCUAACUCAUUUUCACCCUUUCAUUUUAUAGAAUGGGAAAGCAAGACUUCAGUUUUCUCAAUGGACAUACUAAUUCAGCAGAACCAGAAGAUUUCCAUGGAGCAAGAAAUCUAACAUGAUCUUUCUAAACUUUAUCAAUCAUUCACGGUCCUCACCAAGGGUCAUAUAGUGUGGAGAACAGGAGGAAGACAAGGGAGAUAGGAAAGAGACAAAGGGUGAAAAAAUUAAAUGAGAAAAAGAAAGUCAGUUAGUGGCUUCCUGUGAUUUUCUCAUUAUCACCCUUUCUUUCCAACUAUUUUUUAAAUUUUCUCUUUAGCCUCAUCAGAUAAUCCAGAUAUCAUCAAGUUUCACUGGAAAUCCUUGGUCACCCAUAUGCAGGGGACAAAAGAGGAAGAGACAAGUAUAUAUAAGUAAACCCUAUUUUUCAGCUUUCGGACUAUAGAUGCCUCAAUGGUUAAUAUUGAAACUGUGGAUUUUAAAUGCUCAUUUCAUUUGGUUGUCAGUCAUCUACAGAACAUCUGCCAUGAGCUAAGAAUUCUGCUGUACACUCUAAGAGACAUGAGUAUGAAGGAGACAUAGUCUUGCCUCUAAAAAUUUACAAGUUAAUAAGAGAGAGGGAAUAUAUUCCUCCUGGUUGCAAAAUUCUAAGACAUUUCACACUAACAAUCAUAACACAGAGAAGAAUCAGAUAGGGGCCCUAAGAGAAAUUCAACCUGAGUGUUAUGGGAGUCCAAGAAGGAGUAUGUCAUUUCUCAGUGGCAGGAGCCAAGAAAUCUUCAUCAAAGUGGUGGGAUCUUGAGCUGGGGCUUGGAGGGUAGAAAAGACUUAAACUGUAAGAGGAUACUGAAGAGUAAGCCUCCUGAGAAAAAGGAAACGGCUCAAAGGCACAAGAAUAAAGAUCUGCUUGGGAAAGAGCAAGUGGACCAGCUUGGCUAUAGCAUGGGAUAGAUAAAUGACAAGAAAUGCACAGCUGGAAAAUUUUGUUGGAAGCCAAAUUGCAGAGCAUCUAAAAUGAUGAACCAGAAAGCUUGGUCUCAAUUCUCUAGGUAAUGUACAGACACUGAAAAUUUUUUGAGGGCUGGCCUUUAGGUAGAUCAACCGGCCACAAUGAAUUGGAGUGAAAGACACUAGAGGAAGGGAUCAGCAUCUCAGGAUGAGCUAAAUGAGUGUAAAAGCACCCGCAGUGAGAAUGGAAAGGAGGCAGAUUCACUAGGCAUUGAGGAUGCAGAAAGGGCAGGAAUAAUUUGGGGUGAAGGUUGAAGGAGCAUUUCCUAGGGUACUUGUGAUGAAAACAAAAUUCCACUCUGUCAAAUGGAUGCCUGGAAGCAUGAGAUUUUGAACUUACUACUGAGAUGGUUUUACCACUGCCUGAUAUUGGUUGGUUGGUUGAAUAAUUUUGCUUGUUGUAGGUUAAGGAUAUAUGUGGGUUUUUUUUUUUAUUGUAUUGUCCCUUCUGUGUCUUUUAUGGUCUAGAAAGACCAGAAUAAACAAACAGACAUUAGAUAUCACAAACCCAGACCAAAGAUCAGAGGAGGUCUCAUCAUCUCCUUCUUGGUGUGUAAAUACAGCAAGAAAUACAUAGUGGUGGACGCAUGGCUAUUAAUAUAAAGGAGACAAUCUAUUACAAACUGUCCAAAUCAAUAAUUAUACUUUACCAUGUCCCUCCUAUGUGUCAAAUUAUAUUCCUGUCCCCAUCCAUUUUUAUAUCAGAGAUUCUUUUUAAAAAUUGACUUCAUUGAAUUGGUAAAGAACUUGCUUAUGGAAGGUCUUCUAUUAAUAAGGGUGCAAUCUUCACAGUCUCUACCACUUAUUCACUGAGCAGCCUCAAUCACCUAGUCAGAUGCUAUACAACUUGGGGGCAGAUAAUAAUCGCCCUUUCACCUUAUUUAGCUACUAAUGCAAACACAUUGUGACCAUCUUCUUCAGACAGUCUUCCCAGAUAAACUAGAAGAGACCUGACUCCAUGUCAUUCUCAGAGAGCUCUCUAUCUGAUUUUGAUUUUAUUUUUUCCUGCACUCAUUCUUCUGGCUACCCACCCCCUACCUCAGCAAACAUUUAGUGAGCACUUGGUAUAUGCCCAGCACUGGGCGCAGGGAUGCAGAUUCAAAGAUAAAAGGCAACAAUCCUUCACUUUGUGUAAAUAUUAAUGUAAGGAACUCAUUUGCCCUCUGGAACACCUCACCUUGAAGACAGGAACCAUCUCUACCUAAACUUGGUGUCAUCUAAACAUUAGCUCUCCAUAGUGGUUAAGCACGUGGACUGCGGAGCCCUAGAGUAGGAGGGUGGCCAGUGCCAGCUGGGCACGUACCAGCCGUGAACCUGGUGAGUUAUUUAAACUUCUGAGUCUCAGUUUCCUCCUCUGUAAAAUGGGCGUGAUAAUACUAGUAUCUACCUCAUAGGGUGGGCUCUGGUAAGAAUUAAAUGAGACAAUUAAUGCAAGGAGUUUAGGAGAGCACCUGCUGUACACUAGAAAACAUGAUAAAAACGAUCAUUAAUUGUAUUUUUUUUUAGGGAGGGGCUGUUCUAAAGGGAUGUCCAUUGGGGGAAAUAACAGUUCAGGGUGGCAGCGGCUUCUCAGUGUCUGGGCAGUUACAGAGCGAGGAGAGAAAUCUUCGUUCAGUAGCGAAGUGGUUUUAUUUCCUGUCCAAAAUGCGAGCAUCCCUCUCUUCCUGUUUGGUGUAAUUGACCAUGUGAGCCAGGGCUUGAGAGCUCGCCCUACAGGCCUUCCCGUCUCCAACUUAAGGUUUCUUUUACCAAUUUCCACACAGUCCCUAGUCUUCCUUGGCCCCUAAAUCUUGGAUCAUCUCUUUUUUUUUUGAGGAAGGUUAGCCCUGAGCUAACAUCUGCUGCCAAUCCUCCUCUUUUUGCUGAGGAAGACUGGCCCUGAGCUAACAUCCAUGCCCAUCUUCCUCUAUUUUAUAUGUGGGACACCUACCACGGCAUGGCUUGCCAAGCAGAUGCCAUGUCCGGACCCGGGAUCCGAGCCAGCGAAGCCCAGGCAGCUAAAGUGGAACUUGGGCACUUAACCGCUGCACCACCGGGCCGGCCCCCAUUAAUUGUAUUAAUGUCUGACCCAUGAUCAGUCUGCAAAUGGCCACCAGUAGCUGUAAUGGUGACUGUCCUUUAAGCAAGGAAGAAUAUACUUAAAAGAGUUGCUAGCACUUCAGAGAAAGGUCUAGGAGGCAAUGUCCAUUUCAGUUUGCAUGUCACAAGAACAAUUCUUCUUUAGCCUGUAUGUCAUGUUUUCUGUUUUCUUUCUCUCAUUUUCUUAUACCAGAAAAUUUUAUCUGUUCCCGAUGUUCGUUCCCUAUUUAAACACACAGCAUUCAGUUGGUGAAGCCAGAAGUUCUCUGCCAAUGCUGUCACCACCCAGGUCUGUGGUGCUGAAGGCCCAAUCUGAAGCAAGAAGUGACACAAAACCACUGCUGCUCCAUCCAGAGAGAGUUGCUGGUAUGCAAGGCGGGUUGCAGGAUUGAGCCCCCAGUGAGGAAUAAGUAACAGAAACCAUAGAAGGCAAAUAAAAUAGAAAUGUGUUUCUCAUGCAAACACUCAGAGCAGUUAAAACUAAAAUAAAGGAAAGAAUGAAAUAAAAUAGAAAAUUGUGGAGGGGAUUUGGUGAAACACUUUAAAAUCAAAGACCAUGCUUUCCUUUCCUUAUUCUGUGAGAUGCUAGAUCACUGCUUAGAUGAAUUUACAGCUGUUUCCAACAUUUAUGUGAAACACAACAAAGAGCUGGACUCUGGUUGCUGAGCAGGCUAUACCCCAGGAGGUCGGAAUGCAUCACUAAUUAAAGGGAGGCUGCAGAUAUUGGUAAUCUGGGAGCUGCAGGCACCCCAUACAUGUACCUCUCCGAGCCAGAGCAGGUUGCAUCUAAUAAGGUUUUCAAGGUGACUCUGUAUUUCUUCAAUGCUCCUCACCCUCAACUUCCUCACAGGCAUUUCUAGCCAGUUACUCCACAUUCCAGGGAAGGCAUGAUCUCCUUCAAACACCAUGCCUAUUUCUCGAACAUUAUCCGCAGAAACAAAUUUAGCUUUGUACAUUACAUCAUCACCUCACUGCAGAUUACAGACCCAGAAACUAUCUCCCACAUGGACUAAGGUGAUCCGGGGAGCCUGGGGCACCAUUCUGUCCAAAUUGGAAGGGGGCAGAGCUUCUUGCUGAGCAGAUGGUCUUGAGCCCAGCAGAUCUAGGAAUUCCAUUUUAUUUUUGCCUUUAAACAUGCAGAUAGGAAUAUCAGACCCAGAAGCUUUCCGUGCUGCACAAUUUAUGCUAGCUCAUUACCUCCUGCUACACUCCAAGGCUCUGUAACGGAAAUUGGCUCUGAUUUCUGAGAUGGGCAUUACAUCAUAGUCUUCUUUUAGCACAUUAUGUCAUCCCUGCUGAGACCCAUUAUCUAGGGUUGGCUCAGCAGUAGCGAUUUUUGUGGGCCGACUGCAGCGUUCCCAAAGAACUGCUGGGAACCACAGAUUGCAAUCUAAAACAUUUAUCUUCUAAAAAACUGAAAAUGGAGAAAGAUGUUCACAUCGGACCCCAUUUAUUUUCCUUAACCCUCUGCUGUCUGAGAGCCUUUUAGAGUACAUUGCGGCAAAUGCCAAUGAGCAUGUGCGGAGCCUGUGCAGAGACGAUCAUCUCGAGAUAACCACUGCUAAGGGUGCCUGGAAUAUCGCUCCUCAUCGAGGGCUGAUAUACUCUACACUUGCCAUGAUUCUGUCUCAAGGGAUGUUACGAAAUGCUUAAAAGGAGUCACCUUGCAUGCUCACAGUGACAACGAGCACCCUGCCUAAUUCUUGGCUUAUUUAAGAAAAAAAUUUCUUCUCAUGAUCUGUUUAUACAGAUAUAAAUAAAAACUAUGUACAUACAUGUAGUUUUUAUUUAUAUAUAUAUGUAUUUAUAUAUACACGCUUAUCCUCCUAACCAUGUUGCAGUCACAAAGGCAAACUUCUAGAAGAUUUGUAUUAGAAAUAAUUUUAUGCAGAGAACUGAGCUGAUAUUAUCUCUUCUCACUUCAAUCAUGAAAUUAGAAGCCCGUUCUGUAUCUCUCCAUCCUAGGCAGGAUUAGAAACCAUUGCACAGAGGGAAUAGACGGGAGCUCUCAGGAUGAAGCAAAGAUAUUCCCAGACCCUUGAGAAUCCCCAUACCUCUCUCAUCACAAAAGCAUAAAUAUGAUAAUAAAAAAAGUCUCUACAUCCCGAAAUGAGAUGAGAUACAUUCAACCAUGGCUAAAUUACAAUCCCCCUUACCCACCGACUAAUGAGACUCAUUGGGAGGGAAGUAAGUGCUGGGGGAGGGGUUAGAAAGGAGGCUAUGAUAUUCCCUUCCCCCAUCCAAUCAUGCUGCAUUUUGUUUUUCCACGGAUUUUUUUUAACCGUGAAUACUUUUAUGCUCUCAGUUUCUUUUUGUGGCUCUCAAAUGGCAGCCGCAUCCAAACAAACAACUUCAUAAUUAAAAUGGAGGUAAGUAAAGCUAUCAUUUGGCCCCAUCCCAGAGCCUUGCUCCUACUUCCACCCUCAGUGAUUUUCCAUCAUGUUCUUUUCUAGCGCUCUCCUCUACACCCAGUGGAUCAUAACGCAAGAUGGCAGCCUUCAUCCUUCACUCAGCCCGGGGCAAGGCCAUGUGAGCAGUCUGAGCAUUCUAACAGGGUUUGGGACACCUGGCCCCACAUUCAGGGUCUAGAAACUUCCUGGGUGACAUUCAGCAACCAACUGAUAUCCCAUCUUUAGCACCUCUUCUUUCAUAUUUUAUGUCUGCUGCCAUUUGCCACUUAUCUCCUAGAGGGGACGGUGUGAGGAUUGAUGGUCUGAUCCCACAAAGGGCUCGAGGCUUUCAGACGGGCGAUGCUCUGUAAAAUAGUAUUACUUAAUAGCUAAGGACAUUUAUAAGGAUCCUCUUACCCUUCUCCUUCCUUUCCUUUGUCCCUUCAUCUCCACCUCCUCCCUCUCACUCUAGGAAUUUUAUGAUCAGAAGGCCAAAAUGCUUUAAAUCUUAAUAACUACAUGUGCCACUUGGGAUACUGAAAGGAAACUAUAUAUGCUCUUUAUUUGACUCAUUCAAAGCUUUUACUGCAGCCAAAGUAACUGCUCCACCAUUUAAAAAUUUCACUGAAAAGGCAAGCAGCCUUCAACAUGUUAAGCUGAUGUUCAUGUAAGUUGUGAAAUAUUAAAGGACCAGGAAUUCUAUCCAACAAUGAAAUUACCUGGCCCAACCACCUCCUUUCCCUUUGGAGGAGGCAAGAAUUCACAUGGAUUCACAUCCUGAAGGAUGUAUGCCUCCAUCUAGGUGUCGGCUGGCUAGAUACCAGCUUCUGAAGAUACACUGGAGAGGGGACUGAGCCUUACUUCUCUCUCUGCCUCCAGUGCCCUCUGUGUCCCAGUAGUUGUGCCUAAUCCUGCAAAAAAAAGGCUUUCAGGAUGCCCAGAGGUCCUCAGUCCACUCCCAAUCAGGCCAACUAUAGAACAGAGCCACUGUGCUCUUGCACUUGUAACAGGACAGUUACUGGCCAUGAGAAUCUGAGGGAGGAGUUCUUGUAGAGAAGAGGAAGCUGAACCCAAAAUCUGUAGGUGGUUUCUAAGAGUAAGUACAUACUAGGGGGAUCACAUUGCACAGUAAGAAAUCAACUAUUCCCUAAUGGAUGUCCCACAAUAAAGGUGGAGAGCAGGGGUGGCCAAGUCAGAAUGAGGAGAUCAAGCACAGAGCUCACUGGCACCUGACAUUACAAUAAAACCCAGGCUUGGAGUGAGUAUAGAAUUCUGGGCCUGGCUUCAGCCUCCUUCGCCAACUGUCUUGGCACCAGUCACUACGCUCAGUGGCCUGACAGAGGGGAACAAAACAGUACGGACCUUUCAGGCUUUCCUAGGCAGAGGUGGGGAAUUCCACAGCCUCCCACCUGCCCAGAAUCACUGUCAGGAUCACCUAACGCCUAGAAAAGCAGCCAUUGGUCUUAUCAACGAUGAUCUCAAUCCUGCUGUCUACAGCAAUGCCAGGAGACCAACUGUCCUCACCGGUUGCUCUCUGGGUGCCACCCCAGAGUCCCAUUACCAGCCCCCUGGGGGCUUGUGGCAUUUCCUAGGCUAUAGAGCCUUCCAAACUUCUUAGAGUUAGCCCUCAACAGCUCACCUUCAGACCUGUUUGUUAGCAACAGCAAAAAAUUUCUUUUCUGUAAAUGUAAGUACAUCAUGAAGAUACAGACUAGAGAAACGUCGAGGUUUACUGUUCAGACCCAAAAAGGUUCUAGAGAGAACUGCUUUAUCCAGCUUUGGGGGAAAAAAAUUAUACAAGUUCCCUUACAAUGUGAGUCCAAACUAUUUCUGGUCAAGAUCCUUCUUAACUUCUGGGAAGUUUGCAUCCCCUUCACCUUUAUUCCUGGUCCAGGCUGAGUACUUUGCCUUUCCCUUAAAAUGUUUUUCCUUCCGGGAGGAUUUUCUUCAUGAUCUCUUGUUUACCCCUUAACAAAUUACUACAAUAAUAUUAAUCUAGUUAACAAAAGUACUAGAUUCUCCUUAAUCCUGGACAAUAGAACUAGGUAGGCUCCAUUCAUUCAUUCAUUCAUUCAUUCAGCAAAUAUCUAUGGAGCAGGGUCAACUGUGUGCCUAUUGUUGUAAAAAGUGUUGUGGAGAUGAAUCAGACAUGGAUUCAGCUUUUCAGGCACGAGAGAGACCACAGACAAGCUAUGUUAAUAAAUAUAUGACAGAGACUGCUAGAUUUUCACCCAAGUUCCUCCUCAUAUUCCUGGGUACACAGCUAGAUAUACUUUCCAACUUCCUCUACUGUUAGGUGUGGCCAUGUGCCUGAGGCCUGGCCAAUGAAAAGUGGAUGGAAACGAUACCACUCCCAGUGUUGCGCCUGUGAGAUCAACAUGCUUCUUCCUCCUUCUGGCUGUUUGGGAUGGCAAGAUCACCAAACCCAGGAAGUCAUGUGUUGAAGGUGGCAAAGCCUCAGACAGCCAGAAUUCCUGCACGCCCCCUUGGAGGAGAGCUGCCCUUGUGGCCUAUUUAUGUUCAGGACUGGUACAAGAGCAAGAAAUAAACUGGCAUUGUGUGCGUCCAUCACAUGGUUGGGUCUGUUCAUAACAACAGUCAGGCUGUUCUAAUUAAUGUAAAUGUUGAAAUGAUUUAUUGAAAUGGAAAGAUAUUCAGAGUGUAUACUAGGGUAGAACAAGUUUAAAAACCUAUAGUGUGAUAUCACUUUUUAAAAGAAUAUGUAUAUAAAGGUACUUAUACACCAUGGAGAAAGUUCUAGAAGUGUGUACAACAAGGUAUAGGUGUUUAUCUCUGGAGGGUGAUAAUACAGCUAUGGCUUAUCUACAUUUUCUGAUAUGAAAUGAUAUGAUUUUAUAAUUAAAAAAUGAAAUCUAUGUUUAACAUUAAAAAGGAAAGUAUGUCUUGAGAUAUAAAUACAAAGGCACAGCAUCUCAAAGUGGAUAAAGAUUUCCUGAGGGAAAUUAGGAAAGGCUUCUCAAACUAAGCAUUUAUUAAUGACCCUUCCAACACUGAAAAUCUAUAAAUUAGCUACAGCCUGAGAAAUAGAACAGGUCAGUUAUACAACAUUCCUGGUUCCCAGCCUUUAUGUAUUGAGGUCUUGUCAAUGGGGAUCAAUUCACCAGAAAGGAAGGACGAGCUAAAUCUUUUACCUUUACAAAGUGCCAAAAACUAGUCUCAGUGGUUGUUUGGGGUGAGGGAGAGGAAUGAAAGAGAGGGCAGUAUUAAACGAGUUAGGGGAAGGAAAAAGGAUCAUACCUACCUUAUACCUUUUUGUGCUUUUUCAAUAUUUUGUUAUAGGCAUUUAUUACUUAUCCCAAAAAUUCAAAAAAAUUUUCUUUAUGAAUUUUGUGCUAUAAGAAUUUAUUGCCUAUUUUUUUAAAUCCUAAGUUCUAUAAUCUUUUGUAAAUACUAAGUCAGAAAUUCUCCUUGAAUUGGUUAAGUGCAGAGAUAGAUGCUAAGCAAAUAAACAAGUCAUAAUUUACCAGCUGAGUCCUACAAAAACAUAGCUCCAAUUAGCCAUUGUGGCAAAGGUUCACCUUUUUAUGUGAGAAGAGCCUAAAUAUGUCCUCCCCAAACACCAAAGGAAAGGACUGGUCAGUGAAGGGUCACCUCUGCUCUCCUCCACACAGUCUUCAAAAGUGCCUGGAGAAAGAUUUUGGUGUACAAACAAGAGUUGGAAACUUUGCAAAACCUCUUAUGUCAAAGUCUCAACCCCCGUUCUUUUGCUGUGAAGACUCAGAGGAGUGACGGUGACCCCAGAGAGGAGGGAUAGGCCACCAACUCUCUGGAUCAAGGAAGAGCGUUGCAGGUUGAGGUCCCUGAAAAACAGACUCCAAGAUGGAGAUUUGCUCACAGGUGGCUUAUGGGCGGGGCUCUUGGGGACAACACCAGCAAGGGAGUAAAGGAAGCAGAAUUAGGCACAAGGAGGAGUUGAGCUGUGACACUGUCACAACAAAGGUGUCAGUGGAUCCCACAGGGCACUCUGGAGCUGGGAUGGCCCUUCAGAAUUGUCCCAAGCUGGAGCUAAGCCUUUAAAUGCCCUCAGGGUCUGGGGCAAGCAGCUCUCUUCAGCCAGUUUUCUGGGAAGAACUCAGUUGUGAGACAUCAGCAGGCAAUACUCCCAACAGCUGGGGAGACAAAUGCCCAGCGUAGGGCGACACGCUACAGCAUCCACUACAGAGUGGCAGGGGGAUGUCAACCCUUCUGUCAGUCUAUAUCUAGUUCUCAAAAUAUCACAUCACAAUUGGCUCCGGUUAUUCCUCUUUGAAAUUCCUCAGCGGCUUCCUAUUACUCAUGGGAGCAAAAAAGAUCUUCCUAAGCAACAUUAAUGGGCUUUUCACUGGCCUAGAGGCCAAACCCCAUGGAACCUAGGAUCCAGUCACCCGGGGCUACUCACCAGUCCCAGAAAUUACCGUCCUUUUUCAUGGCUCUAAGCCUUCAUAUAUGCUCUUCCUUCUGCUAGAAUGCCUUCUCCACUCUUAUCUUCCUAAAAAACCCUUAGUCAUCCCUCAGUCCUCAGGGUAAUUUCCGCUGGGAAACAUCCCUGGCUCCCCUGGACAACUCAGACUACUUUACUCCAAGUUUCCACUGCGUUGUAUGCAUCUACACCACCACCCACAGCAGCCCGUGCAUAUACCAGUUCUUCACGUCUGUGUCCCGCUAGACUGGAGGCUUCUUGAAAACACAGCCAGAUCUUUCAUCUUGGUAUCCCUGCUACAUAGGAAGUAUUAGAUUAAAUGUUUGUUGAAUGAAUAAAUAAUUCAACGUGGAAGAAAUGGUGCUGGUGGUGAUAGCUCCGUCAAGGAAGAGUGGAUGAAUUCUGAUAAAUUGGUGGAACAGGAGAUAGAACUAGGGACACAGGGAGAGGCGAAGUGUUUGUAACCAGCCAUGUGCCAGAAACAUUUGGCUUUUAUGUCAUCUUUGGUUUUCAAUCUCUAUUGUCCAGCUACAGCUUAACAGAAUGGAGGGUACAUCAGGGGCUCUUAUGUUGACAGCAAAAUUGCUUUUAGGGUUCAACAACCAGAAAGUCUCCCAAGGAUGACUUUAAGGAAGGAGUGUUAGGCUAUGUGGACCCCUGGCUGAGGCUAUGACUAAACAAGAUUGUGGGUCUGAAGAAGCAUUCCCCUCUCUGCAUAUUCUCCUGAAGAAUCUCUGCCAAGGACUAGAGGAGCCCCCACACAUGAAUAACAUAUUCAACUUUUCUUCCUCAUGUUGAUCAACGACGGUGUUAACGAGGGGCUGGGCAAUGGGGCUGUAUGAGCUGAGAGUGUUUAGCCUUCAAAAGCCCUCAAAGGAGAACAAGGUCCCAGGUAACAGAUAGAAGGAAGAAAGGACUUAAGUCAUCCUGGAGCUUCCUGGUAAGGAGAAAGUGGAAAUGCAGGCUCUCAUCUUUCUUUUUUUCCUAAGAUUGGCACCUGAGCUAACAACUGUCACCAAUCAUCUUUUUUUUUUCUGCUUUUUCUCCCCAAAUCCCCCCAGGACAUGGUUGUAUAAUUUUUUAGUUGUGGGUCCUUCUAGUUGUGGUAUGUGGGACGCCACCUCAACAUGACCUAAUGAGGGGUGCCAUCUCUGCGCCCAGGAUCCGAACCGGCGAAACCCAGGACCAGCGAAGCGGAGAGCACGAACUUAACCACUCGGCCCCGGGGUUGGCCUCACUCUCAUCUUUCUUUGCCUCUCAUCUCAUACUCAUCCCCAUUCCAUAUUUCUAUGCUCAAGAGGAAUGGAACUAGCCCAAACUAUGAUGAAAAGUGAUUCUCUCUCAGUCAUAUCCUAAGCAAAUAAUUUUUUUCCAGAACCCCCAGUACAAACAUAAUACACUGAGUAAUCAAGCAAAAUUAUCUAAGGUCAUUAUAAACAGGCAUCAAACCAAGUUUGGCUUCAAUCAAAAUGAAUUUUAGGUCCAUCUCUAUUUAUUUUCAAAUCUUACUGCCUCAUUACAGAACCAGGGACCUGUCAUUUUAGGGAGAAAAAAAUAUUCUGUUUCCUCAGGAAAUGCCAAGGGGCCACAAAUUUUAAUCUGCUCCAGCUGGAGUGGAGGCUGGGGGCUUAUUUUAGCUUACAAAAUAUACCUUCUCACAUUUCCUCCUUCUGACAAACCAAAGAUCCUCCUCAACCAAGGUUCGGGUAGCUGCUCCCAGUAUCCAAAGGAAGGUUGCCCAGCCAAGCAACUGCUCCACCCACCUGAAAGCCUGCUUAGGAUUCCAUUUGAAUGUAGGAGUUGAUUCUAAAUAUAAUCCUGAAAGAAGCCUCCACCAUCAUCCUUGCACUUGUAGCUCCUCUCUUUGCAAAAUAAUGAAAUGGGAUGGGUGGGUUUUCAGGCUUUGCCCCUGGGAGGGCAGCUUGCGGUAAUGAGACACAAGAGAGCAACCCUUUGCUGACGCUUACCCAACCCUCCCUUUAGGAUGGGAGAAGGGGUGAACAACAGCAGUCCUCCAACCAGGAGUUGACACCAAGCCCCAAUCCUCCAGUUUCCCACUGGGUCCCUCUCAAAGCAGAUGGUCCCUAAGAUGUGUAAAUUGUCCCAGGGAAUUAAUUAUCCUCAGGAAUAUCCUUAGAAGUAUGCCUCCUCCCCCUGCCCAACCCAGGACUCCUGUUAUAAAAUUCAGAAUCUCAACAUAUCCUAUUCCUAACUGUGAUCAUUCUUAUCUCACCAGAUGGUAUUCCACUAACCAACCAAUACCUGUUCAUUGUGGAUCUCGCGCACUAACCCUGGGAUCUUUGACAGCAGUGCUGUUUCUUCCACAUGCUGUUUCUUCCACAUCAAUGGACCUUCAGCACCUACCACAGUGCCAGGUACAUAGAAGAUGCCCAGUAAAUGCUGGAUGGAUGGAGGGAUGGAUGGAUGGAUGGAUGGACAGAUGAAUGGAUGGGGAAUUGCCUCAGUGUUGCCCUUGGUAGAUAGAAGGACAGAUGAUAGGAAGUGCAGCUUGAGCAGCUUGACUACAGCUGUGUGCUGCAACUCGGCGCAUGAUCCUGGAGCCCACACACAGCCCUGGGGCUCCCGGUUAGAGCAUGAUGGUGCCAUGGCUCCUGCCCUCUGAGUCCCCUGACCAAAACUAAAUCCAUUUGGGGGUGGAGAUGGGCCCCCCCAUAGCAGGCCCGGGAGGGAAUUGUGAUGGGAUCACCUGUGGAACAUAGUGACCCUCAUUAACACAACCAAAGGCAGGCUUCCCUUUUCUCUGCUUGCUGCUGUCUGAUGUGAGGAGAGAGGGGUGGAGACACAGUCUCUCCCUGGCCCCCAGCCCGGGGAGGGAGGCUGCGCAGGGGUCUGCAAUCACAGCCCCCACAGCCACACUGACCAUUCAUCCCAUAAGUGGCUGAGGAGAGCCUAGACAUCUGUGCCCGACAGCGAUGUUUCCAUGUGUGCAGUUGGGCUCUUCUUCCCUGGAUCAAGCCCAAAAGGCCACAAGCUUUUGAAUGGAAGGCCACCAAGCCUGAAGUCCACUUAUGGAUGAGAUCAGCUCCAGCUCAAGAUCAAACUCUCUCCAGACGCAAGAUGGAAAAGUCCCAUUAGCCAAACCCUGGGCUGAGCUUCAAGAAACAACAAUCUGUUGUUGAUUCUUCUCUAUACUGGAAACAUAGAAAAUACAGAAGCUACCUAACCCCCAGGCCACCAAAAACCUAUGUUUAUUGCCAUCUGAUGCCAUCCUACCCUACAUGCACAGUGCCAGGGAAGGGGCAGCAAAAUAGCCUGGUGCCCCAACUCUGGGUCUUUUCUCCCUUGCUUUCAGAGCAGAACCCAUCUGAGUGAGAAUGAUUACCUUUUGUUGUUGUUGUUGUUAAGGUCAUACUGACUUAUAAUAUUGUGUAAAUU